GGAGAGACUGCCCGCGUAAGCUGAGAGGAAGGUGGGGAUGACGUCAAAUCAUCAUGGCCUUUAUGCUCAGGGCUACACACGUGCUACAAUGGUCGGUACAGAGGGUUGCGAAAGGGUGACCUGGAGCCAAUCUUUUAAAGCCGAUCUCAGUUCGGAUUGAAGUCUGAAACUCGACUUUAUGAAGGUGGAAUCGCUAGUAAUCGCGCAUCGGCCAUGGCGUGGUGAAUACGUUCCCGGACCUUGUACACACCGCCCGUCAAGCCAUGGAAGCUGGGGGUGCCUGAAGAUGGUGAC
rnacentral:rRNA from 1 species